GACGAACCGUCCUAACGUUGUUCGGAAUCACUGGGCUUAAAGGGCGCGUAGGCGGACCACAAAGUCCGGGGUGAAAUCUUUCGGCUUAACCGGAAAAUUGCCUUGGAUACUGGUGGUCUCGAGGGAGGUAGGGGCAUGUGGAACUUCCGGUGGAGCGGUGAAAUGUGUUGAUAUCGGAAGGAACGCCGGUGGCGAAAGCGACGUGCUGGACCUCUUCUGACGCUGAGGCGCGAAAGCUAGGGGAGCAAACGGG
rnacentral:rRNA from 1 species